UCCAAUAUCUCAGGGGCUGCCGCAAAGAAGUGAGAGUCCAGCUAUUCUCCAAAGCACCUGAAGUCAGGAUAAGAAGCAACGGAUGGAAACUAAUCAAGGAGAGAAGCAACCUGGAACUAAGGAGAAACUUCCUG